AAAGUCAUGAAUGGGAAUUCGAAGAGGC
rnacentral:sRNA from 1 species